rnacentral:rRNA from 1 species
CUACGUAGGGAGCGAGCGUUGUCCGGAAUUACUGGGUGUAAAGGGAGCGUAGGCGGGACGGCAAGUCAGAUGUGAAAUACAUGGGCUCAACCCAUGGGCUGCAUUUGAAACUGCUGUUCUUGAGUGAAGUAGAGGUAAGCGGAAUUCCUGGUGUAGCGGUGAAAUGCGUAGAUAUCAGGAGGAACACCGGUGGCGAAGGCGGCUUACUGGGCUUUUACUGACGCUGAGGCUCGAAAGCGUGGGGAGCAAACAGGAUUAGAUACCCUGGUAGUCCACGCUGUAAACGAUGAUCACUAGGUGUGGGGGGACUGACCCCUUCCGUGCCGCAGUUAACACAAUAAGUGAUCCACCUGGGGAGUACGGCCGCAAGGUUGAAACUCAAAUGAAUUGACGGGG